AAGUCGUAACAAGGUUUCCGUAGGUGAACCUGCGGAAGGAUCAUUAUUGAAUGUAAUUCAAAGAGUUGUAGCUGGCAUUUUGGUGCAUGUGCACACUCUUUGUUACUAUUUUUCCACCUGUGAACCUUUGUAGACUAUGAACAAACCUCAUCUGAAAAUGAUGGAUUGAAGGUGUUGCUUUUUAACUAAAGCUUCCUUUGUAGUUCAUAGUCUAUGUCUUUACAUACCCUUCACAAGUUAUUGAAUGUCAAUUUACUGGUCUUUUGACCUUUAAAAAACUAUACAACUUUCAGCAACGGAUCUCUUGGCUCUC
rnacentral:misc_RNA from 1 species